UACGUAGGAUGCAAGCGUUGUCCGGAAUUAUUGGGCGUAAAGAGUUCGUAGGUGGUUAUCUAAGUCUGGUGUUAAAGACGGGAGCUCAACUCCCGCAUGGCAUCGGAAACUGGAUGGCUAGAGUGUGAAAGAGGUAACUGGAAUUCCUGGUGUAGCGGUGAAAUGCGCAGAUAUCAGGAGGAACACCAAUGGCGAAGGCAGCUCGCUGGGACGUUACUGACGCUGAGACGCGAAAGCGUGGGGAGCAAACAGG
rnacentral:rRNA from 1 species